rnacentral:rRNA from 1 species
CCUACGGGUGGCAGCAGUGAGGAAUAUUGGUCAAUGGGCGCGAGCCUGAACCAGCCAAGUAGCGUGAAGGAUGACUGCCCUACGGGUUGUAAACUUCUUUUAUCAAGGAAUAAAGUGAGGCACGUGUGCCUUUUUGUAUGUACUUUAUGAAUAAGGAUCGGCUAACUCCGUGCCAGCAGCCGCGGUAAUACGGAGGAUCAGAGCGUUAUCCGGAUUUAUUGGGUUUAAAGGGUGGGUAGAUGGGUUGUUAAGUCAGUUGUGAAAGUUUGCGGCUCAACCGUAAAAUUGCAAUUGAUACUGGCAGCCUUGAGUACAGUUGAGGUAGGCGGAAUGCGUGGUGUAGCGGUGAAAUGCAUAGAUAUCACGAAGAACUCCGAUUGCGAAGGCAGCCUACUAAACUGCCACUGACGUUGAUGCACGAAAGCGUGGGUAUCAAACAUGAUUAGAUACCCGAGUAGUC